UUCCAGACUCCUACGGGAGGCAGCAGUGGGGAAUAUUGCACAAUGGGGGAAACUCUGAUGCAGCGACGCCGCGUGAGUGAAGAAGUAUUUCGGUACGUAAAGCUCUAUCAGCAGGGAAGAAAGAAAGUCCUUUGGACUUUGGACGGUACCUGACCAAGAAGCCCCGGCUAACUACGUGCCAGCAGCCGCAGUAAUACGUGGGGGGCAAGCGUUAUCCGGAUUUACUGGGUGUAAAGGGAGCGUAGACGGCAGCGCAAGUCUGGAGUGAAAUGCCGGGGCCCAACCCCGGAACUGCUUUGGAAACUGUGCAGCUCGAGUGCAGGAGAGGUAAGCGGAAUUCCUAGUGUAGCGGUGAAAUGCGUAGAUAUUAGGAGGAACACCAGUGGCGAAGGCGGCUUACUGGACUGUAACUGACGUUGAGGCUCGAAAGCGUGGGGAGCAAACAGGAUUAGAUACCCCCGUACA
rnacentral:rRNA from 1 species